CCGGUGUGACGUGGUGCCGAGUGACUGGAGGUCAGGAGGUGGAGGAGGCCUUGGCUGACGGCCGGGCGAGAAGGACCUCUCUGAGGAGGUAACUCUGCACUGAGGCCCGGAGAGCCCGGAAGGAGUGUUGCAGGUUGAGGGAACAGGGACGAAGUUGGCACAUUUGAGAUAAAGAAGGCAGGUCAGUGAAGCUGGAGAGGAGAGGGAGGGAGGAGGUGAAGUCAGGCGGCCAGCUGGGCCAGGCGCGUGUCCUGCAGCCGUGGGAGGGAGCGGGGCUUCUACAACAUCACUAAUCCAGCAGAGGAGCGUUUACGAUGGCCCAGAUACUCUUUUAGGGGCUUUACAUCCGUUAACUCUUUUUACCCUCACCACAGAGGUUUGAUUUCACAGACUUAAGUCACCUUAAGUCUCACUCACAUCAAAUUUAGACGAGAUUUUGGACUUUGACUUGUGAGUUGAUGCUGGAAUGAGUUAAGACCUUUGGGUGUGGCUCGAGCAGAGGAAACAUAAAUUGCCUGGUGAGCAGCCAGUCUGCGGUGUAUGCUAGCGCUUCUCCUGUAAAGAAGUUAAAUGAUGGAGCGCCUGACCCCUUAUGCUGGAGUUCUUCCACCUGCUUUGUAAUUAAGCAGCCCUUCAUGGUCCUGGGGGAAGCACGGGUGAGCUGCGUGCGCUACGCUGCAGUGCAGUUUUCAAGCAAACUUCCUCCGUGGGCCUGCCCAGGAGAUUCCCCAGAAUGGUCAGGGCCCCCCACCCAUUUUUCCUGGGGCUCAGGGGACCCAGACUGAUUCGUGUCCGCAAGGACGCUGCCCUGACAGCCUGCUGGGAGCUGGGAGCGUGGUCUCCUCAGCAAACAUGACUUAAAUGCAGCGGUCGCCUUUCAGCUGGGGCUUUAGAAUUACUCGUGAUGUUUCUACCAUUUAAGAUACUUUAGCCUGUUUCAUCUUGAGACAAUUCCUGCAGGUUUCCGUUGAGGAGGCUCAAAUUCUAAGAUUUCAGAAAUCCACGGAAGAGGGAGGGGGGAUCGGUGAAUUUCAGCCAAUUUCACUAGCCAACCUCCCACCUGUGCAACCCCCGGGGAAGCUACUCAACCCCUCUGCGAAGCAGGAAUAAUACUCAUGUGCAUCUCAUCCGUGUAUACUGAGGACUGAGUGACUUAGAACAGUGCCUGGCACAUGGUGUCAUUCAAUAAAUAUUUCUUUCCCUCUUUCCCCCUCUUUGUUUUGCGAAAGAUUAUCUUCAUUGAGUAGGAGAUAGAGGAACACAGUUUUAAAAAAUCAGGCUUCCACACGGAUUACAGGGAAAAGUAACUCUUCCCCCCAGCUCCUAACCUCCAUUCCCCUCUCAGAGGAUGUUAUUAGUCUCUUGUGCAUCCCCUCAGAUGGUCAAGAGACACGUUUGUAUUUAUACACGGGCACUUUUGAAAAGGCAAAUGGCAGCACACUUCGCAGUACUGUGCCUUUUUUAAGAAGUGUAACAGCUUUAUUGAGAUAUGUCACAUACCAUAUAAUUUACCCAUUUAAAGUGUGUCUUGCUUCUUUAUGUAUCACUUAGAUAGUUCCAUAUCAGCAUUUUCACCCUUCUCUAAGGUUGCAUCUCCACUGUGUGGAUGCACCACGACUUUACUUGCUCAGUGCUGUAUUGCUGGACAUCUAGGUUGCCGCCAGUGCUGCAAUGAUAAUGAAUAUCCUUGGAUGUAGGUCUUAGUCCAUGUCUAAAUAUUUCUCUGAAGUUUCUCCUCCUGUUCCUGUCUUUCCUGGGAGUGGAUCCGCUCCGCACUGUCACCAAUAAUGACGUCUCUAACAAACCAACCUGUGCACGAUGUUUGCAAAAUAUACCUCCACACCGUUCUGCUGCUGUCUUUGGCUUAUGGUUUGAACAUAUCCUGGGUAACACACAUUAUCAUUAUUAAUUAUUGUUACUAUUACUAACGAGACUGAGCAUUAUGACAGGGGCUUGGCAGAAAAGCAGCAGGGGAAAAUCGGAUAUUCGUGGUCUAAUUUUGAUAGAAUGCUAUUUGCUAAUUGUCAAGGCCGGGUUUGGCAAGAGAGAAUCGGGACGCAUGAUGUAAAGUGUAAAGACAAUUUCUUGCAACUUCCCGUCCCCACUGCACCCAGAAACAAGCUUCCAUGGCUUGCAUCGAGCUCAUCCUCAGUUAUUGGCACACUUCUCCUCGACGACCCGAGGCCGAAAUGAAGACUCCUGGGAGCUCGUCUGACAAGAGAGCAGAGGCAUUUUUCAGUCUGACAACAAUAGCAGGAAAUACUUCUGUCAGCUUUUACCACAUGCCAGGCACGACUCGAUCUUCCUUUCCAGGGCUUCUCCAGUACGGGGUUCUCAAACUUGAACAUGCAUCGGAAUCCCCUGAAGGGCUUGUUCAUACCCAGAUUGCUGAGUCAGUAGGUCUAAGAUCCCAGGAUGGGCAUUUCCCACAAGUUCCCAGGUGAUGCUGCUGGUCCAGGGACCACACGGCAUGCCUGGCCCCAGCGAGUCCCUGAACAUCUUCCUCACCAAAGGAAGCACAGCAUCAAAGCACAUUUUCAAAGGUGUUUCCUCUGCAUGUUGAAAUUUAAGAGGCCUCUGGUGGAGAAUACAUGGAUGCAUUCUGAGUUUUAAGGAAAGCAAAAAGUAGUUUAUUACUAAUGACAGUUAAAGCAUCAUCCUUGUCAAAUGAUGGCUUUGUUUUUUGUAUGUUCGAGGGGAUUCAACUCCACCUCAUUCCUUGUGUCACAAGGUGCCCCCUGGGAGCAGUCCACAGCCCUGAGGACACUCGGGGGAGGGCAGGAAUGAGACUCUCGUCCAUCACGGACGGUUUGGGCAGAAAAGCAGGCCAAGGGCAGCUGACCCAGACGGGACAAGGGGCUCCCUGAGCUGGGCUUGCAGUCAUGUGUGAGAGCAAGCCUGCGGCUCUGCUUCAGUCAGGUGACACUGAGACACGUUGAAGAGCAGCCGGCAGAAUGGAGAAGGAAGAGGGGCCGGCUCAGGAGAGAAAAAGAGAGUGGCUAGGAGCGGGGAGAGAGAGACAUCUCAGUGGAAACAAGUGACCCUUCAAGCCUGGAGCCUAGACCAGAGCCACUGUCUACGAAAGAGCCUCUGGUUGCAUUUUGGAGACUGGGCGAGAGGGAGGCCAUUUGGAAGCACGGAGACCAGGAGGAUUUUUCAGAGAUUGGUAGCACAUUAAGUCUCUAACCAAUCUCAGGAAUGCUAUAUUUAAAAGGACCCUAAGGAGAGAGUAACACUCAACACACAGAGGUGAUUUGCCGAUGGCGGAAUCCUCUGCACCUGGAGAGAGGAUGUUUGCGCACCUGGACGCCUUCCCUGCGGCUAUCAAACCAGAUUGAAGACAGCUGCCUUCACCGGGGAAGAACACCGGUGAGGAAAGUGCCGGGGAGGACAGAGUUUGGCAGUGGAGGCUGGGGCAGGGUUAGAGAAGUGUGGAGACCCUGGCAGUGUCUAGAGCAAUGGUGCACACCCUCGGCUGCACGUUGGAGUUAGUUGGAGGACUCCUGAUGAUGAGGCCUCAGCCCAGGCCAAUUAAAUACAAAUUUAUAGGCAUCAGCAUUUUCCAAGCUUCCACAGGAUUCCAACGUGCAGCCAAGAUUGAGAACCACUGUUUGAAAAUGGGGCUCCUCAAAGUGUGCUCCGCGGACCAGCAGCAUCGGCAUCACCUGGGAGCUUGUUAGGAAUGUGGCUUCUCUGCCCCCACCUCAGACCUGCUGAAUCAGACUCUAUUUUCCCAGGAUCCCUUGGUGACUGCUAGCACAUUGACUGGGCAUUGGAAUCACUUGGGGAGCUUUCAAAAAAACCAUCUCAGUGCCUGGGUCCCACCUCCAGAAAUUCUGAUGUGAUCAGUUUGGGGUGUGGCCUGGGCACCUGACUUCUUAAACGUCCCAGGUGAGGCUCCAGCUUUACAGCCAGGGUGGAGAAGUGGGCUAGAGCCCAGAAAUUCCAUCAGCAUUCAUGGUGUUGCAGCCUCAAAAUAAAGAGAGGAGGGUGGGGCUCAGGCGGGGCUCUAGACAAACCUAGAAUCAUAUAACUAAAUGAAAAGUAAAUUUGGAAAAGUGAUUAUGAGUUUAAAAUACUUGAAUGGAAUCUGUGUCCUCUGCAGCAAAUCAUUCCUGGAAUUGAACUUUCUGAGGAGGCAAAGCAGCCAGAAUACUCAUGUUGAAAUAUGUUCCACUAGCUGCUUGCCAUGUAUAAGCCGAUCCAGGGCACUGGGCCUUCUGUGCCUAAGUGUGUACAUCUGGGCAACGGGCACAGCAGUGCCUGGUCGGGAGGAUCAGCAGAGGAGGCUGUGGUACAGGCAGCUUCUAAAAUAGCCCUGGGCAGCCUGCUCCUGGCGUUCAGGCCCUAGGGUCAUUCCCUCCCCUUGUGUGGCGGCUGGACUGGCUUCUAACAAUAGAACCUGGCAAAGUGAGGGGCUGUCCCUUCUGAGAUUAGGUUACAAAAGGACUGUGACGUCUCCCUCUGGUUCUUGGAGCCCUUGUUGUGAGGAAAGCAAGCUGCCGUUCUGAGGAGUCCAGGGGAGAAGCCAUGCAGGAAGCAACUGAGGUCUCCAGCCAACAGCAAAGCCCCGAGUCACGUGAGUGAGCUGGGAUGUGGCUCCUCCCCAGUCACGCCUUGAGCUGACUGCAGCCUUCUGAGAGAGCCUGGGUCCUGCGUGUGACCCAACCGCAAAAGCCACACAGCCUUGCUUCC
ensembl:lncRNA